GGGCUUGUGGCGAAACUGGCAGACGCAGCGGACUUAAAAUCCGCAGCCCUAAAAAGCGUGUGGGUUCGACUCCCACCAAGCCCA
rnacentral:tRNA from 1 species